rnacentral:lncRNA from 1 species
CGAGCAUUAUCCCCUUUACACACAAUCAAAUCACACUCCGGAUAGAAUAGAGGAAGUUAUCGGCGGUUACUACGUUUUGUUGACAAUUACAAUAUUGGCAUAGCAUUUCAAUAUGGUGCUUUCUAAGCCUACUCUGUGCCCCUUCACGCACUAGCGAUUCCUGUGGCGGGCCGGGCGCAGUGCACGCUGACACGGUCGCCAGGUGUACGGUGUUUCCUCCGACACAUUGGCUUCCGGGUUAAGUAGGCAUUGUGUCAAGUAGCAGUGCGGCUUGGUUGGGUUGUGUUUCGUAAGACGCGCGGCUCUCGACCUUCGCCUCUCCCGAGUCCGUAAGGGAGGUGCAGCGAUGAGACAAGACUAACAGCGGGGAGGUGUUCAGAGCACACUAUGAACACAGAGGACACAGAUGUACAGCAAACAGCAGAGAUAAGACCUCCACUAUAUGGGCUAGAGUGGAGCAAACAGCAGAGAUAAGACCUCCACUAUAUGGGCUAGAGUGGAGCAAACAGCAGAGAUAAGACCUCCACUAUAUGGGCUAGAGUGGAGCAAACAGCAGAGAUAAGACCUCCACUAUAUGGGCUAGAGUGGAGCAAACAGCAGAGAUAAGACCUCCACUAUAUGGGCUAGAGUGGAGCAAACAGCAGAGAUAAGACCUUCACCUUAUGGGCUAUAGUGGAGCAACCAUAUGGACUGGACAGGAUCACAGCAGCAUCUUUAUACAGGUCAUGUGUUACAGUGAGUGUAGGCCUACACAACCCUCAGAGAACAAUGGUGAUUGAUGUUAUCUAGGAAAUGAAUAUUUAAUUAAAGUAAAUUCCAUUUGUAGCUCUACACUGUAAACCUAGCUCAGUAUUACAACUCUCUGGCCUAUAGAGACCAAUUCUGCUAAAUAUAUUAUCACACCAUUUUAUUUAUUCAAACAUUUCAGUUCUGAAUGCAGUAAUCUUUGACUGUAACACUGUUAGGUCACCCAGCUUGGUCAAGCUCAACUGUUUUGCUCAGUCUCUCCUGGUCUGGCAGGAAUCUCUGGUUUACCUAGAUAAGUUAUUCCACUCUGAAGCCCAGUGUAAAUUAGUCAGCCAAAGCAAACAUACCACCUCCAUCUCCAGGGAAACACACCACCUCCAUCUCCA